rnacentral:lncRNA from 1 species
UAAAGAUUGGACAGUAAGAGUGCUUCUAAUGAGUCACAUAACUAUUCUGUGAAAGCCUGAAUAUGGUAGCUGUAUUUCAUUAUCUGUUUCUUUGGAAUUAGUGCUUCUAUCCCCCCACAAUAAAAACAGGAUGAACGUACGUCUGCUAAAUCUUUAAUGUCUCUAAUGGCCUCUUGAUCAUUUGCAUUUCAGAUCCUUCUACAUACACAGUAGCAAUUUGUGGUCUUGGAACAUGCAACUGAUUGAAGCUGAAGGUGCUGCCUAUUAUUAUUAUCAAACCUCCCCCCCUUACACCACCCAUUCAGCUGUAGGAUGCAACAGAGAAAACUCUGCUGUGAUAAUUCUGGAGAUUCACUGCUGAGAACUCAGCAUCAAGAGGGUACCAGCUCUGUUUAAUUGUGUUCUGAAGGGAGUAUGCAUUUAUGCAUCUUUCUUUUUGAUGACAGGAGUUCAGAAAAAUCAUUAAAAAUAAUUGUUGAAGACCGUAGAAAGGCAGUUAGACAUGACCUGCAGUCAUUGUCCAUUGUGUUUGUACAAUGAUCACAGAAGUCUCAUUGUGUAACUUGAUGAAGAACUGGAUUAAAAUCAUUUGAUUUUCAUGCAUCUCGUAGGUGAUGGCAGAGACAGUGAUGGAGCAACAGCUGAAAAUAACAACGCAUGGGACUGAAGGAUAUUAUUAAAACAUAAUCCACAUAGAAGUCAGCUGGUAGGAAAUGCAAGGUAAAUAGAAACCAGAGUUUCCAUGUGCCAUCAACACAUGUCAAGUCAAAGGAUCUUUCUGCUCUGAAAUAUACAGUCCACUCCCUUUUUGCUACAGCAGUACAUAAGAGACGUGAAACUAAUCUGGAUGCAGUUCAAAUAACAAUGUCACUUUUUGACUGCCUCAAGGAUCUGACAGGAGGAAUUGAGUAUGCUGCCAAGAUAUUAAAUGAAAUUCCCCAGAAAGACAUUCAGUGCACUAAAAGAGCCUCAAAGGCAGAAAGGGAAGGAAAUGGGCAAGGUAAGUCAUACAUAAUGAUCUCAGUUGGCGUCCAUUGAUCUCGCCCAGCAUCCUUUGAGAGUGGAAUA